AUAAAAUCUGUUCAAUCAGCACCUGAGAUUCCUGAAAUGCUUCCCCAUGCUAAUGAGGAGCACCAGAGGGAUGCUGACACUCAGAGGUCACUUCCUUGGACUCAGGGAAGCAUUUACACCGACGGAAGGAGACACUUACCUAAUCGCCACUGAUUGGGUGCUGAGCAUCCAGUGAGCCAGGAGGGUUGCACAGGAAAAGUGUUGAAAAGAGCUGAAAGUGGAAAAAGUUUGGGCAACCCUGGUGUAGUUCAGCAGAAAACACCCAAGCUCGGUAUCUGUCUGCUGAGACCUUCUGCCAGACCUCCAUCCCUGCAGUCCACUCACCCAGAAAAUGCUAUUCAGGACUCUUAGAACAGCCAACAUUCUUUCUUUAUUG
ensembl:lncRNA